AAGGAUCAUUAAUGAAACUUCAAAGUCGGCUCUUGUUCUCAUUCUGAUGCUGGUGGAGAGAUCCACAUGUGCACGUUUGGGGGCGAGUCGCAAAAUCCACACACCUGUGCAUCUAUGACUCUGAGUGCCGCUUUGCAUGGCCCUCGCUGGCCUGGCACUCGAGUACCUUUAUCACACUCUGAAUGUAAUGGAAUGUCUAUUGUGCAUAAUGUACAAACUAAAACAACUUUCAACAACGGAUCUCUUGGCUCUCGCAUCGAUGAAGAACGCAGCGAAAUGCGAUAAGUAAUGUGAAUUGCAGAAUUCAGUGAAUCAUCGAAUCUUUGAACGCACCUUGCACCCUUUGGUAUUCCGAAGGGUACGCCCGUUUGAGUGUCAUUGUAAUCUCACCUCUUCGACCUUUUGUGGGUCGACCAGUGUGGACUUGGAUGUUGCUGUGUAACAAACGGCUCGUCUGAAAUUCCUGAGUGUACCCUGCUUUUGCAGCGUAUUCGGUGUGAUACAUCUUCACCGGAGUUUCGACUUUUUGGGUCGGCGCCUAUAUUGUGUGGCUCUAUGCUUCGAACCGUCCCUGAAAAGGACAAUACUCUUGACAAUUUGACCUCAAAUCGGGUGGGACUACCCGCUGAACUUAAGCAUAUCAAUAAGCGGAGGAAAAGAAACUAACAAGGAUUCCCCUAGUAACGGCGAGUGAAGAGGGAAAAGCUCAAAUUUUGAAUCUGGUGUCUUUGGCGCCCGAGUUGUAAUCUAGAGAAGUGUUUUCCGCGUCGGACCGUGCACAAGUUCCCUGGAACGGGGUGUCAUAGAGGGUGAGAAUCCCGUAUAUGGCACGGACUACCGAUGCUCUGUGAUACACUCUCAACGAGUCGAGUUGUUUGGGAAUGCAGCUCAAAAUGGGUGGUAAAUUCCAUCUAAAGCUAAAUAUUGGCGAGAGACCGAUAGCGAACAAGUACCGUGAGGGAAAGAUGAAAAGCACUUUGGAAAGAGAGUGAAACAGUACGUGAAAUUGUUGAAAGGGAAGCGUUUGAAGUCAGUCGUAUCUGGUGGGAUUCAGCCUGGCUUCUGCCUGGUGUACUUUCCGUCCGAUGGGUCAGCAUCAAUUCAGACCGAGGGAAAAAGAUGUUGGGAAUGUGGCUGUCUUCGGGCAGUGUUAUAGCCCGAUGUUGUAUGCCUCGGUUGGGAUUGAGGAUCGCAGCGCGCCUAUAGGCCAGGGGCGAAAGCCUCUUGACACGCGCUUAGGAUGCUGG
rnacentral:rRNA from 1 species